UGCAAUUAAAACAGCCCUGUUCCCUAUGCAUUGGCUUGCAGGACCUGGGGUAGGCUGCCAACGGGCUCCCCACUGCUCUCCUGCUGGCGACACCACAGGGAUCCUCUCCUUGUCAGUUUGGGAGCUCCCCGCUCUGAAUUCUUCCAUCUGAAUGAGAAGGGAACCAAGCACGUACUCAAUGCUUUACAUUGUGAGGGCCAUUUGGGCUUGUGUUUCCCAAACCAAAUUUGGGCAGUACCAGACAAGUUUGUUAAAAGUGUCAUAGGAUGUUUAAAGGGCAAGCAUUAGUCACUGUGGUGCAAAGCAGUGUGAUAAGACUUAGUAUGAGACUUGAUUCAUAACCUGGAUUGGCAAAGGAUACUUUUCAAUAAGAAGUUAACAGUGGCAGCUCUAACAUGAAAGAGUACACAACACAACAGCUGUUCCCCUUCUGCAAAAAAAUCAAUUGGUGGUAUAUGAAACUGAAUUAAGAUGACAGUGCCCAUCAUCAUGUGCAAUAAUAUGUGACUCAGUGUUGGCAGUUAUCUUGAUCAUGGACAAAGUAUUUCUACAGAUGUUUCUUGUAUUACAGAAAUCCUAAAGGACAUGAAGUUUGGAAAGAUGCAUAAAAGGCUCUGAAGUUGGAUUUGCUUUGAGAAGAAAGACUUAUGCUAGAGCUGCUGCCCUGGAAAAGAGAUGAAAAAUAAAAAUGGCUUGUUUCAAAGCUUUAGUGUGAAAAAUGCAGCAGCUUUGCCCUCUGCUCUGACCAGUUCUACAGUGAAUGGUGACAUUUGACUGGCUUCUCACUGUGAAAGGAAAUUUAACACAACUGUGCUGGCAUCUUAAAGUGGAAGCAGAAGAUAGCUAUGAAGUGUCAGAAGUCUUCUUGAAGACAGAGGUUCACCAACCUGGUUGUAAAGCUGCUUGGUUUUCAGUGAAGGCCUUGCUGAUGCUCACAAUAAACAAAAUUCACUUUGAAAGAGGCAUUCCUUCAUACAGAAAAAAUCAAUUGCCUUUUAAAUUGAAUUUAUUUCUAUUAAAAUGUCA
rnacentral:lncRNA from 1 species